CUGGAGCAGCUCUUGUACACUGACCGCUUCUUUAAGAAUGACUUUGCUGUAGUUUUUUGCAGCCGUUCCUGAAACACGCAGAUCCUCCAAGACUCCCUAACGGGAAGAUUGACAUGAGCUUUUUUACUCCGGACUGUUUCCACUUCACCAUGAAAGGACAUGAGGAGUUAGCCAAGGGACUGUGGAACAACAUGUUUCAACUUGAGGGGGAAAAGUUCAUGGUGGAGAGCUUUUCAAACCCUAUUGAGCUCAUUUGCCCCCCUGUGAGUCAUCCGUACAUUUACAACCAGAC